rnacentral:lncRNA from 1 species
CAUCCUCAUCUCCGCAACCUUCAUUCUCUGAACAUGAGAGUUCUUCACUGACCAGCACUCCGUACAACAUGGCAGGUCUAACCACAGCUCUAUUAAAUUUUCCCUUGAGUUUCUAUGGAACUUUCUUGUCACACUGGACUCCUGACGCAAGCCUCCACUUUGACCACCCCGCUCCUAUACGAUGAGUGACGUCCUCGUUAAUCUCUCCGUCCCCCUGAAUCACCGACC